rnacentral:rRNA from 1 species
AUUGAACGCUGGCGACAUGCCUAACACAUGCAAGUCGAACGGCAGCACGGUUGCUGGCACCUGUUGCCGAGGGGCGGACGGGUGAGGAAUAGAUAGAAACAUGUCUUGAAGUUGUGGUUAGCGCUGCGAAAGCGGGAUUAAUACCACUUACGAUCUACGCCUAAAAGCGGGAGCCCGUCGUCCCUCGCCCUUGAGGGUUUGCCGAUGGCUGAUUAGCUAGUUGGAGGGGUAAAGGCCUACCAAGGCGACGAUCAGUAGCUGGUCUGAGAGGACGACCAGCCACACUGGAACUGAGACACGGCCCAGACUCCUACGGGAGGCAGCAGUGGGGAAUUUUGGACAAUGGGCGAAAGCCUGAUCCAGCAAUGCCGCGUGUGUGAAGAAGGCCUUCGGGUUGUAAAGCACUUUUGUUCGGAAAGAAAUGCUGGACGUUAAUACCGUCCGGUGAUGACGGUACCCAAAGAAUAAGCACCGGCUAACUACGUG